rnacentral:rRNA from 1 species
UACGAAGGGGGCUAGCGUUGUUCGGAAUUACUGGGCGUAAAGCGUACGUAGGCGGAUUGUUAAGUGAGGGGUGAAAUCCCGAGGCUCAACCUCGGAACUGCCUUUCAUACUGGCAAUCUUGAGUCCGGGAGAGGUGAGUGGAACUCCUAGUGUAAGAGGUGAAAUUCGUAGAUAUUAGGAAGAACACCAGUGGCGAAGGCGGCUCACUGGCCCGGAACUGACGCUGAGGUACGAAAGCGUGGGGAGC